CCCAGCUCUGCAAUACUAGAGGAGGCUGGAUUCCACAUCUCUGAAGUCCCACCGGACUGGUGCGAUGGGGCUCACGAGUCCAGGGCUGCUCUGCAGGCUGUGGGGCUCACCUCCAGCUCGGAGCCCACCUGGUGUGCUCAAGUUGCUCACCUUUGGGCCUGUCCUGCCUCUCAGGCAUUCAGCUGACCCCGAGGGACUCUCCCUCAUCUUGACCACCAGUUACGGGCUCUAAGUUAGAGGUUCCCAGAACCUUAGACCAUUUGGCCAAACCCUCCAUUUCUCAGCUGGGGAAACUGAAACCAAAGAGGAGAAGCAACUUUCUCAAGGACCCCCAGCAAGUCAGAGGCAGAACUGGGUCUAGCAGCCUCCUCCCGACAGAGGGCCUCCCUGACCCCUGAGCCUUUACUGCCUCGUUAACUUCCCUAUAAGGAGACUGCUCUGCCGAGGCUGGAAAUGGAAAUGCUCUCCGUGGCGGUGUGUGCCCGUGACUGCGCCCGUGUUUGUACUUGUGAGUGUGUAUGGGGGUGGGGGUGAGGGAUGGGAAUAAACAGCAGGGAUGCUGGGG
rnacentral:lncRNA from 10 species